UUCGCACCGUCAGGAGAGAGCGCCCACGCGGCGCCGCCGAAGGCGCAGGUUCACCGAACGCUCAGGCAAAAGGACUGGCAGCCGCCC
rnacentral:ncRNA from 2 species